rnacentral:tRNA from 1 species
CGUUAAUAACAAAACCGACCUUAGCUCAGUUGGUAGAGCGGAGGACUGUAGUUGUUACGACAGAUAUCCUUAGGUCGCUGGUUCGAAUCCGGCAGGUCGGAU